rnacentral:rRNA from 1 species
GAUGAACGCUGGCGGCGUGCCUAAUACAUGCAAGUCGAGCGAAGCGGCGGAUGGGUGAGUAACGCGUGGGUAACCUGCCCUUAAGUCUGGGAUACCAUUUGGAAACAGAUGCUAAUACCGGAUAAUAAAGGAUGGACCUGCGAUGCAUUAGCUAGUUGGUAAGGUAACGGCUUACCAAGGCGAUGAUGCAUGCCCGAGUGGGGAGACUGAUCGGCCACAUUGGGACGGAGACACGGCCCAGACUCCUACGGGAGGCAGCAGUGGGGAAUUUUGCACAAUGGGCGAAAGCCUGAAGCAGCCAUGCCGGGUGUAGGAAGAAGGCCUUCGGGUUGUAAAGUACUUUCAGCGAGUAGGCGUUACUCGCAAAAGAAGCACCGGCUAACUCCGUGCCAGCAGCCGCGGUAAUA